AGUGAACGCUGGCGGUAGGCCUAACACAUGCAAGUCGACCGCAGCACAGUAAGGGCUUGCUCUUACGGGUGGCGAGUGGCGGACGGGUGAGGAAUACAUCUGAAUCUACUUUUUCGUGGGGGAUAACGGAGGGAAACUUACGCUAAUAACGCAUACGACCUACGGGUGAAAGCCGGGGAUCUUCGGACCUUGCGCGAUUGAAUGAGCCGAUGUCGGAUUAGCUAGUUGGCGGGGUAAAGGCCCACCAAGGCGACGAUCCGUAGCUGGUCUGAGAGGAUGAUCAGCCACACUGGAACUGAGACACGGUCCAGACUCCUACGGGAGGCAGCAGUGGGGAAUAUUGGACAAUGGGCGCAAGCCUGAUCCAGCCAUACCGCGUGGGUGAAGAAGGCCUUCGGGUUGUAAAGCCCUUUUGUUGGGAAAGAAAAGCAGCAGGUUAAUACCCCGCUGUUCUGACGGUACCCAAAGAAUAAGCACCGGCUAACUUCGUG
rnacentral:rRNA from 1 species